AGGCCUUGGGACCCUGGAUGUGGGUUUAAAAGGAAUGGUGUUGUAGUCCUUCCUUUUAAACCCACAUCUAGGGUCCCAAGGCCUGG